UACGUAGGGUGCAAGCGUUAAUCGGAAUUACUGGGCGUAAAGCGUGCGCAGGCGGUUUGCUAAGACAGGUGUGAAAUCCCCGGGCUUAACCUGGGAACUGCGCUUGUAACUGGCAAGCUAGAGUGUGGCAGAGGGGGGUGGAAUUCCACGUGUAGCAGUGAAAUGCGUAGAGAUGUGGAGGAAAACCGAUGGCGAAGGCAGCCCCCUGGGCUAACACUGACGCUCAUGCACGAAAGCGUGGGGAGCAAACAGG
rnacentral:rRNA from 1 species